rnacentral:rRNA from 1 species
UGCCAGCCGCCGCGGUAAUACGGAGGGGGCUAGCGUUGUUCGGAAUUACUGGGCGUAAAGCGCGCGUAGGCGGGCAUUUAAGUCGGGGGUGAAAUCCCGGGGCUCAACCCCGGAACCGCCUCCGAUACUGGAUGCCUAGAGGAUGAGAGAGGCGAGUGGAAUACCGAGUGUAGAGGUGAAAUUCGUAGAUAUUCGGUGGAACACCAGUGGCGAAGGCGGCUCGCUGGCUCAUUUCUGACGCUGAGGUGCGAAAGCGUGGGGAGCAAACACGAUUCGAUA